GAAUUCCUAGUAAGCGCGAGUCAUCAGCUCGCGUUGACUACGUCCUGCCCUUUGUACACACGCCCGUCGCUCCUACCGAUUGAAUGAUCCGGUGAAGUGUUCGGAUCGCGGCGACUGGGCGGUUCGCUGCCCGCGACGUCGCGAGAAGUCCACUGAACCUUAUCAUUUAGAGGAAGGAGAAGUCGUAACAAGGUUUCCGUAGGUGAACCUGCGGAAGGAUCAUUG
rnacentral:ncRNA from 1 species